AAUUUUAAUGACGCAAUAUUACCAGUAAUUCAAAAAAAGAGGGUUGGAUCUGUAAGAUUGCCUAGAAAGUACAACCCCCGCAACAAUAGAUCCCUGAUCCAGUUUGCAACUCCAAUGGCGAAACUGGAGCAGCUGGAAGAACCCGACUACAAGAACGCCACCGCCACCAACACAAACACUCUCAACAACAACAACAAGAAGAAGUACAAGAAAAGGAAUCAUGGGUCAACCAAAUUCUUUGUCUUCAUCGAUUACCUUUUCCUCUCCAUAUUCGUUGGCUUCCUCUGCUUCAUUCUUUUCAAGAUUCUUGGGCUUUGAUUUCUAAUCAACACCCACAUUUCCUUUUACCAGGGAAUUUGUAUGACAUUAAAAUAUCACUGCAAUGUUAGAUUCAGUUCCAAGCUUGAAGGCACUUGCUGCUGUUGGCUUGGUCAGAUUCAGAUCAUGCGAUUUUAGAUUUAUAGGUGUCUUUCUUGAUGUUGAGAAAUGCUGUGCCCUUUUGAUCAUAGAAAUUUUGAUACUAUUUUUCUUCUAAUGCCUUUCCUGUUGCCCUUUCUUCAUGUAUUUUAUGAUGGUUAGAAACUUCUAUGAAAUUAGGGAAUGAUAUUAUCUGAGACCUAGUUUUGCUAUUAGCUUA